AACGAACGCUGGCGGCAUGCCUAACACAUGCAAGUCGAACGAGACCUUCGGGUCUAGUGGCGCACGGGUGCGUAACGCGUGGGAACCUGCCCUUAGGUUCGGAAUAACUCCCCGAAAGGGGUGCUAAUACCGGAUAAUGUCUUCGGACCAAAGAUUUAUCGCCUUUGGAUGGGCCCGCGUUGGAUUAGCUAGUUGGUAGGGUAAAAGCCUACCAAGGCGACGAUCCAUAGCUGGUCUGAGAGGAUGAUCAGCCACACUGGGACUGGAACACGGCCCAAACCCCUCGGGGAGGAAGCGGUGGGGAAAAUUGAACAAUGGGGGAAAGCCUGACCCAGCAAUGCCGCGUGAUGGUUGAAGGCUUUGGGGUUGUAAAGCUCUUUUACCCGGAAUGAUAAUAACAGUACCGGGAGAAUAAGCCCCGGCUAACUCCGU
rnacentral:rRNA from 1 species